GGGGCUGAUUCUGGAUUCGACGGGAUUUGCGAAACCCAAGGUGCAUGCCGAGGGGCGGUUGGCCUCGUAAAAAGCCGCAAAAAAUAGUCGCAAACGACGAAAACUACGCUUUAGCAGCUUAAUAACCUGCUUAUAGCCCUCUCUCCCUAGCCUCCGCUCUUAGGACGGGGAUCAAGAGAGGUCAAACCCAAAAGAGAUCGCGUGGAAGCCCUGCCUGGGGUUGAAGCGUUAAAACUUAAUCAGGCUAGUUUGUUAGUGGCGUGUCCGUCCGCAGCUGGCAAGCGAAUGUAAAGACUGACUAAGCAUGUAGUACCGAGGAUGUAGGAAUUUCGGACGCGGGUUCAACUCCCGCCAGCUCCACCA
rnacentral:tmRNA from 1 species